GGCACACCCGGGGCCCUGCGAAUCGGGGCCCCAGAUCGUGUCACAUCCAUAUGACACUUGGAAUGUGACAGGGCAGGAUGUGAUCUUUGGCUGUGAGGUGUUUGCCUACCCCAUGGCCUCCAUCGAGUGGAGGAAGGAUGGCUUGGACAUCCAGCUGCCAGGGGAUGACCCCCACAUCUCCGUGCAGGUAGACUGGUGGGAGAGGCUUCCCUCAGGCAGCCCAGGGCCCUCCAGAAGGACCCUGCUGAUUCCUUGCCUGGCUCCAGUUUAGGGGUGGACCCCAGAGGUUUGAGGUGACUGGCUGGCUGCAGAUCCAGGCUGUGCGUCCCAGUGAUGAGGGCACUUACCGCUGCCUUGCCCGCAAUGCCCUGGGUCAAGUGGAGGCCCCUGCUAGCUUGACAGUGCUCACACCUGACCAGCUGAACUCUACAGGUAUCCCCCAGCUGCGAUCACUAAACCUGGUUCCUGAGGAGGAGGCUGAGAGUGAAGAGAGUGACGAUUACUACUAGGUCCAGAGCUCUGGCCCAUGGGGGUUGCUCACACCCGAGAUGUGAGGUUCCAGGAGCGCCGACCCAGAGUUGCCAGGCCUGAAGGCGGCAGAGGCUCAGUCGCACCCUACAUCUCCCACCUCAAGAUUUUAAGUAUAGUCCGCUUGAAAUCCCUGGAAUGCGCUUUCUUCUGGCUCCUACCCGGAGAUCCGGAGUCCGGACAAACCCGGGCAGGAAGGGUCCGUCGGACCAGCUCCUCCCAAGCCGAGGCUUCCAGGUCUCGGCCGGGUUCUUCUCCCUGCUUUUAGCUGAGCCGGGCUGGGCGUGUCUCUCUCCUCCAUCUAGAGCAGGGUGUGAAGAGGAAGCCAGAGGGGGCUGUCUGAAAAUGACCCUGACUCCCUCCUCGGGCUGUCGUGAGGAAGAGGGCCGCUUCGCCUGGCUGCUCGUCAUCGCGAAGGCUCCAAAGAAGGGUUGCGCAGCCGUGCUGGUAUAACCGAGGGUGUCCUGGCGAAGCCCAGCCCCUGGCGCCCUGGUGACCGGGGAGUCGAUGUGCGGACUGGAAAGAACUGGAGCCCGAAGCUGGAGAGCGCCCCUCAAAGGGAAGCCUGGAAGCCCGACAGAUGAACCCGACUCAGAGAGGGCCAAGACUGCAGACCUUGGGGACCGAGGACACGCUCACCACGCU
rnacentral:sRNA from 1 species